rnacentral:rRNA from 1 species
AGAGUUUGAUCAUGGCUCAGAACGAACGCUGGCGGCGUGGCUAAGACAUGCAAGUCGCACGCGAAAGUGGAGCAAUCCGCGAGUAGAGUGGCGAAAGGGUGAGGAAUAUAAGGGUAACGUACCCUGAGCACCGGGAUAGCUGCGGGAAACUGCAGGUAAUACCGGAUGAGACCACGACAUCAUAAGAUGAUGCGGUCAAACGGUGGGGAUCCUUCGGGACCUAUCGGCUCGGGAGCGGCCCUUAUCCUAUCAGCUAGUUGGUGAGGUAACGGCCCACCAAGGCGACGACGGGUACCGGGACUGAGAGGUUGACCCGGCACAUUGGCACUGAGACACUGGCCAGACUCCUACGGGAGGCUGCAGUAACGAAUAUUGGGCAAUGGGCGAAAGCCUGACCCAGCGACGCCGCGUGUGGGAAGAAGUUCUUCGGAAUGUAAACCACUGUCAGGGAUUACCAAGCGAAUCUGUCUAAUAAGCAGGUGAGUUGAGGAGUCCCAGAGGAAGCCACGGCUAACUUCGUGCCAGCAGCCGCGGUAAUAC